UUUUCUUAAACACGAAGGCGCGGUAUAAAAGGCCGCUUCCCAGGGAAGCAUCGGCUCAUUUGUCAAUCAACCGUCGGGAAGUAAGGAUCAAAUUCAAGAUGGCGGCAAAAGUCAAGUACAAAAUGCAGAGGGGACAGGUUUCAAAGCGCUUCCUGAUGUAUAAAAACGCCAAUUCUACCUUCUAGUCCGAUUGAAUGUGUAAAUAACGAAACUCAGUAGAAAUAAAGCUACGAAACCAUCGUGAUUUACAAAAAAAAAAUUGAGCAAACGCAUUACAAGAAAACAACGAUUGCAAACCUCGAAAAAGGUGAGUUUUAUGCCUAAAAUGUACUUUUCAUAUCUUUAAAUUUCAGAAAACAGGAUUUAAAUUAGUCAUCAAAAGUUAAUAGGUACUUAAAGUAGCGGGGAAACUCUGUUUUGCUAGAAAUGCAUCUUGACUUUGUCCACAUAACUGCCGAUAGAAGUAAUGCAGGCCUUCUAUAGAAAAGAUGUUGUUUGUAGAUCAAAUCUUGCUUUACUGUUGUUUCUUUUUAUUUUUACAUCGCCUCGAGCUCGGACAAGAUUCUUUUGUGCUAUACCCAAGAAGCAAUCAUAGUGACAUCUGAAUAAUCAACAAGAUAUAUUCCUCAAGAAAAAGCAGAUACAUAGACAUAUACAGUAUUACAUUUUCCCUGUGAUUUUAAAUCAUAGACAUUCCUUUAUAAAGGAAACACGUUCCAUUGCUAUCAAAUUGAUUUAUGUGUUACUGAAGUGUUUAGCUACCAGUCAUAUUUUAUAAACUGCAUAAUAGAUUAUACUUUUGAAUGAACCAAAAUGCCUUGUCUUUUAUCCAUUCAGUUCAAGACUUCUCAUUCUUACAGUAAAAGCAAGUUUAGAUACAGGGGGGAUAUCCAUUGAAUGAAAACAGUAAAAGUUAUGUCUUUAUUUUGUAUAAUUAACUUAUAAAGUAUAAAACAUAUAAUAAAACUAAGGAUCCAGACCCUUUUUCAACAAAAUGAAACACAUAGCUAAUUCAAUUGUUAUCAUUUGUAGUCAUCAUAGAUUGCAAGAUAAAAACAAAAUACUAUACAGGUGCAUUCUGAUCUAAAAAGUAGAAAUAUAGACUCAAUUAUGGCUCUUAUGGCUAUUAUAGAUGGAUAUCAGGCAUUUCUUUUGUAGCCCUUCAGUUGUUUGGUGUACACAUAUGUGUAAGUAUAUAAGCUUAGACAUUGCACAAAGGGUUUUCUGCUGUUUCUGUGAGCCAGUUAUGCACUAUAAAAAAAAUAUUGAAACAAAUGUUUUUUUUAUUGUAUACCAAUCCCUUGUUUUGUACAGACAAAUAGUAAGUGUUACAUUUUAUUGGGAUGUAACUAAGCCCUACUUAGGUAAAUGUCAAAACGCUUUAUGGAUUUUUGGUUAAUUCUUAAACAUAUGUACAACAGCAGAUAGGUACACUUGCAUUUUUGUUUUACACCUGUUGCAGCAACAAGUAGAAAUAAUGGUUUCACUAGAAUGAGUUUUACUGCAGUGUCCUCUUACACUACAGCUGUAGUGAAGUGACAAUAAAUCAAUAAUAAAAAAUAAAUAAAAUAAUAAAAUAUA